rnacentral:tmRNA from 1 species
GGGGAUGUCAUUGGUUUCGACAGGUAUUGUUCGAGCUUAUGAUGCGUCAGGAAGGCAGCGACUUCCUAAAAACGCUACAGUUAAAUAUAACUGCAAAUAAUCAAAACAAUUCUUUCGCUUUAGCAGCUUAAUCCCUGCGGGCGAAGAUCACCCUGGCAUCGCCCAUGUGCUCAGAUCGUGGUCUCAAAUUUAGUGGGAUACGCCUUACAUUUCCGUCUGUAAUGUAAGUAAGAGACGACUAGACUCGCAAUCGCAGAUGCCUGUUUAUCGGCUAAGCAGUAGCUAAAUUUUAGUAGAUAAACUAUUGACGUAGACUCGUUUGUGGCGAGGUAUUUGGACAGGGGUUCGACUCCCCUCAUCUCCAUAA